rnacentral:piRNA from 1 species
UGACCGGGAGCUGUAACUAUGGACUUUGC